UACAGAGGUCUCAAGCGUUGUUCGGAUUCAUUGGGCGUAAAGGGUGCGCAGGCCGCGCGGGCAGUCAAAUGUGUAAUUCAGGGGCUCAACCCCUGGACUGCGCUUGAUACUUCCGCGCUUGAACCUUGGAGAGGAGUCUGGAAUUCUCGGUGUAGCAGUGAAAUGCGUGGAUAUCGAGAAGAACACUAAGGGCGAAGGCAAGACUCUAGACAAGUGUUGACGCUCAUGCACGAAGGCUAGGGUAGCGAACGGG
rnacentral:rRNA from 1 species